UACGUAGGGUGCAAGCGUUGUCCGGAAUUAUUGGGCGUAAAGGGCUCGUAGGCGGUCUGUCGCGUCGGGAGUGAAAACUCGGGGGCUUAACCCCGAGCCUGCUUCCGAUACGGGCAGACUAGAGGUAUGCAGGGGAGAAUGGAAUUCCUGGUGUAGCGGUGAAAUGCGCAGAUAUCAGGAGGAACACCGGUGGCGAAGGCGGGUCUCUGGGCCGUAACUGACGCUGAGGCGCGAAAGCGUGGGGAGCAAACAGG
rnacentral:rRNA from 1 species